GACGAACGCUGGCGGCGUGCCUAAUACAUGCAAGUUGAGCGAUGAAGAUUGGUGCUUGCACCAAUUUGAAGAGCAGCGAACGGGUGAGUAACGCGUGGGGAAUCUGCCUUUGAGCGGGGGACAACAUUUGGAAACGAAUGCUAAUACCGCAUAAUAACUUUAAACAUAAGUUUUAAGUUUGAAAGAUGCAAUUGCAUCACUCAAAGAUGAUCCCGCGUUGUAUUAGCUAGUUGGUGAGGUAAAGGCUCACCAAGGCGAUGAUACAUAGCCGACCUGAGAGGGUGAUCAGCCGCAUUGGGACUGAGACACGGCCCAAACUCCUACGGGAGGCAGCAGUAGGGAAUCUUCGGCAAUGGACGAAAGUCUGACCGAGCAACGCCGCGUGAGUGAAGAAGGUUUUCGGGUCGUAAAACACUGUUGGUAGAGAAGAACGUUGGUGAGAGUGGAAAGCUCAGCAAGUGACGGUAACUACCCAGAAAGGAACGGCUAACUACGUG
rnacentral:rRNA from 1 species